GUUUCAAUGGAUACACCACGCAGGCUAGCCAAUGAGAGCACUCCAACAGCUCGUUGCUGUGGAAACGGGACCGGAUGGAACGGCCUGUGUUGAUGAAUUGUUAAUAAGUUUGUCAUUCACAAAAAACGGACAAGAAUUUCCGCUCCGGAUCAAAUGAGUGCAAAGAAACUGUGACAACGGUUCCACUGCAGCAAGAGGAAGCAAUGUGGUAUUUUUACUGAUAUAUCCUACCCCGUUCUCAUGUUUCCACUGGGUUAGCUAAAUACGAAGUGGCAUUACAGGUUUGGGCACGCAGUUGUCUACGUAGCCCAGUGCUGCUAGGUUGUGUAAUUCACAUAGGUUACAUAGCCUACAGUAGGGUAUACAAUUUCGAAUCAAACCAAGAGUCUAACUGAAAUACUGUAUUUCGCUCAAGGAUAGACUAUUUGCCACCCGUAUUCUGUAUGGUUUUGGUUCUAUGGCAAACAUCUAAAUGUUUUCUCCUAGUGCAUUUAGCAUAAACAGGUUUAUAUCGGGCCCGGCCUAUCCGUUUAAUUAAGUUUGGCCGUGGGAAUAAUACAUGGCGUUCAAUUGUUCGAGUGCUGUUCGUUUUUUUCAUUCUGAACAUUUACGCAUUGAUAGCGUUUGAUUUCCAGUUUGAUGUUAACUUAGGCUACUUAAAUAUUUAAUUGUUUUCUUUGGUUAUGCAAAACGCACAGAUAGCCUGCACAUUGAGGGGAACUCCGUAUGAACAAUCUACGAUAUUAGACAUAACUUAUUCUACGGGCCAAUUUUAGAAAAUGUUAAACGCAUUCGAACUGAAAACACAAAUAUUUAUUAGGCUUUUAUGAACGACCGUCUUUUCAAAGAUAUUGAUUUGUGUUGAAAUUGAAACAGUUUUAAGACUCGCUAGCGUUUGGAGGGUUUAUAACAGAGAUUUCUAUUGCGUAAAUCGACGUUACUUCUAACAGAGGGAAAUUGAAGUUGUUUUCUUUUUCCGAGUAUGGGCGCGUGGGCAGUCGGCAAUAGCAACCAGCAUGAUGGUGGGGCUAUUUCUAUCCUAUCCAGGCACGACUCGCUUGCGGGCUAACUGGAGGGCUGCAGUCUGCGGGGGUGGUGCUUUAUUACUAAGGUGUGUGAAUCAAGAAAAAAAAACUGUUAAUCCUGGCUUACUUUGAUAUAAACUGUACAAACUAUUCGAGCAUAAUGUAAUAGGCUACACAAGACAGAGGCCAGCCAAGAUUUAAUCCUCAAUUCAUGUAUGACGAAUGGUAAUAUCUGUUGUAGGCUAAUAAAAGAAGCAGUAGUGUCUAAAUGCAUAGUUAUUUAAAAUGGAAGUUUUACUUGAAGAAAAUGGCUAUUCAUCUGAAUAAUUAUCUCGGUCACACACCAAAAAUUUUGAGAUGUUAUCUUUCUCAGCAUCACAGGUCCUCCUAGACAUGAUGUUCUUGUCCAGAAGUGGCAAAAUCCUUAUGCCCACACGAAAGUCAGGGAAGAGUGGCAGCUAGCAGCUAAUCAAAAUAACAAAUUCACUGUUACCCAUGUACAGUACCAUCAAAAAUUAUUUACACAUGAUAAAAUGAAACAGACAAUACAGACAAUGUACUAUUUUGAACAUAUAAUGUUGUUUUUUUAUUUUAUAAAAAGAUAUGUCACGGUUAUCCACAGCCCUAAUAAUUCUACUAAACAAAACCCAGCAAAAAUAAAUGUGCAUUCACAUGAUAUUUCAUGUAAAUGUUAGGGAGCUCUAUUGUGGCCUACCAUGGCUUCCUGUUCCCAUGGGUAUAAAAAUAAGGUAACAUUAUAUCAAAUCCAUUCUUCACUAUCAUAGAGUGUACAGUAUAUAUUUAUGAGCACUAUGGAUGGUUAGGGUUCACAACAGUUACUUUUUUAGAAAUAAAUGUAUAAUUUCAGAAAAAUGUGAUUUUGGUUGAAUCCCAGGAAGUAGGAUGUUUUCCACAUGUUUGAGAAUUCAAAUAUUGCUCAAUAUUUGCAUGAUUUAUUAUAUAGUCUUUUUUGUUCCUUUUUAUCAGGAGUGUGAAUAACUUUGCUUCACCCCCAGCCUGUGGUUUUUAUGGAGUACGAACUACGGAUGAUUCUGGUUUUGUCCUUUUCAUAAUGAUUCCAACAGCAGCACCACAUGUGUGAAAUGGAGGAACAGCACUGAGGAGACAUAUUUAUGUAUGAUAGCACUACCAGUGGUCAGGAGUACAUGCCAAAUGAGCGUUCCUGUUGGCUACUCGAUAGAUGCACCACUGGUGUAAAUGGCACAGAAGGGCUCUGUGGGGUGCCACAUCCUCCCGCCCCUCUGAGUAAUUGCGCAAGGCGGCCGGAAAGGUUCCCACCCGUCCCCGGUGACAGCGCGGCUGAGCUUCCUCCGACCCCCUCUGGCAAAACGUGAGCUGUUGGCACGGUGCCACCGACCACGACGCACGCCAAUCAAUCGGUGUCAUCGCCAGAGAUCAGACCGCGUUAACAUCUCUGGGCAAGUUUCAGUUUCCUGUGGAAAGAUUACGACGUCUGUGCUUGUCAACAGCUGGUGUAGAACACAUGGUUUGGCUGAGACCUGAUGGAGAAAUGAAGGGAUGAGGCACACACCCAGGUGGACACCCUGGAUUUCCCAAUCUGCAUAGAGCUGGGACCUGGCAACAGACCUAUAAUGACCUGUUAAGAUAAACAACUGUCUGUUGGGUAGAUCAGUAAGGUAUGGUGGGUAAUAGUAAUCAUUUAAUUUUUAAUGCUUAACUUUAAUGUUUGUUGAAGUGGAAUUUGACAUUGUAAACUAUGAAUCUAAGUGCUUUUAAACAGUCCCACCCUGUAAUAGUGCUGUGCCAAUAAGUAUUUCAUUGUAUGUUAUGCUAAGGGUUGCCAAGGUACUGAAAUAAUAAUAUCAACAUUAAAACAUUAC